UUGCACAAUGGGCGCAAGCCUGANGCAGCGACGCCGCGUGAGGGAUGANGGCCUUCGGGUUGUAAACCUCUUUNAGUAGGGAAGANGNGAAANUGACGGUACCUGCAGAAAAAGCNCCGGCUAACUACGUGCCAGCAGCCGCAGGUAAUAU
rnacentral:rRNA from 1 species